GUCAUUUAUGAGUUAGCUAUCUUCUUUUGCAGCCAGAGACGAAUGUAAUCCGUAUUUGGAGAACACAUUGGUCAGCACAGCCUUCUCCUUGAUCUUCAACUUCUUUCCAGAUCCUGGGAUUUCCAUCUUGGGAACCUUCUCGCUCCUCCCUUUCACAAUUGUCUUUUUCUUAGUAGCCCCACUUUUAUUUUGUUUCUUCAGAGAAAAUGAACUAGUUGUAGGUUCUGUCAUUGAUUCCAUGUUAUCAUUACUAUCCAACUCUGAUAUACUGAAAGAUUCCAGAUUGUCCACCACAUCUUGCAAUUUUUCUGUUACAAAUCCAUCCUCAGGGGAAGUUUCUUCAAAGGAUGAGUCAUCCAUAUCAAAAUGAGAACUCUUAUCUUCUUCUGGAG
rnacentral:misc_RNA from 1 species